rnacentral:rRNA from 1 species
CAAUAGCGUAUAUUUAAGUUGUUGCAGUUAAAAAGCUCGUAGUUGGAUUUCGGUUAAGAGCGACCGGUCCGCCGUUUGGUGUGCACUGGUUGGUUUUAACUUCCUGUAGAGGACGUGCUCUGGGCUUAACGGUCUGAACGUGGAGUCUACGUGGUUACUUUGAAAAAAUUAGAGUGUUCAAAGCGGGCUUACGCUUGAAUAUUUCAGCAUGGAAUAACACUAUAGGACUCCUGUCCUAUUUCGUUGGUCUCGGGACGGGAGUAAUGAUUAAGAGGAACAGUUGGGGGCAUUCGUAUUUCAUUGUCAGAGGUGAAAUUCUUGGAUUUAUGAAAGACGAACUUCUGCGAAAGCAUUUGCCAAGGAUGUUUUCAUUA